GACGAACGCUGGCGGCGUGCUUAACACAUGCAAGUCGAGCGGUAAGGCCCUUUCGGGGGUACACGAGCGGCGAACGGGUGAGUAACACGUGGGUGACCUGCCCUUAGCUCUGGGAUAAGCCUGGGAAACUGGGUCUAAUACCGGAUAUGACUCCAUGACGCAUGUUGUGGGGUGGGAAAGCCUUGUGCGGCUAGGGAUGGGCCCGCGGCCUAUCAGCUUGUUGGUGGGGUGAUGGCCUACCAAGGCGACGACGGGUAGCCGGCCUGAGAGGGCGACCGGCCACACUGGGACUGAGACACGGCCCAGACUCCUACGGGAGGGCAGCAGUGGGGAAUCUUGCGCAAUGGGCGAAAGCCUGACGCAGCGACGCCGCGUGAGGGAUGACGGCCUCGG
rnacentral:rRNA from 1 species